rnacentral:rRNA from 1 species
CCCUGGGGGGGGCCUAAUACAUGCAAGUCGAACGCACUCUCGUUUAGAUUGAAGGAGCUUGCUCCUGAUUGAUAAACAUUUGAGUGAGUGGCGGACGGGUGAGUAACACGUGGGUAACCUGCCCUAAAGUGGGGGAUAACAUUUGGAAACAGAUGCUAAUACCGCAUAAAACCUAACACCGCAUGGUGUAGGGUUGAAAGAUGGUUUCGGCUAUCACUUUAGGAUGGACCCGCGGUGCAUUAGUUAGUUGGUGAGGUAAAGGCUCACCAAGACCGUGAUGCAUAGCCGACCUGAGAGGGUAAUCGGCCACACUGGGACUGAGACACGGCCCAGACUCCUACGGGAGGCAGCAGUAGGGAAUCUUCCACAAUGGACGAAAGUCUGAUGGAGCAACGCCGCGUGAGUGAAGAAGGUUUUCGGAUCGUAAAACUCUGUUGUUGGAGAAGAAUGUAUCUGAUAGUAACUGAUCAGGUAGUGACGGUAUCCAACCAGAAAGCCACGGCUAACUACGUGCCAGCAGCCGCGGUAAUACGUAGGUGGCAAGCGUUGUCCGGAUUUAUUGGGCGUAAAGCGAGCGCAGGCGGUUUCUUAAGUCUGAUGUGAAAGCCUUCGGCUCAACCGAAGAAGUGCAUCGGAAACUGGGAAACUUGAGUGCAGAAGAGGACAGUGGAACUCCAUGUGUAGCGGUGAAAUGCGUAGAUAUAUGGAAGAACACCAGUGGCGAAGGCGGCUGUCUGGUCUGUAACUGACGCUGAGGCUCGAAAGCAUGGGUAGCAAACAGGAUUAGAUACCCUGGUAGUCCAUGCCGUAAACGAUGAGUGCUAGGUGUUGGAGGGUUUCCGCCCUUCAGUGCCGCAGCUAACGCAUUAAGCACUCCGCCUGGGGAGUACGACCGCAAGGUUGAAACUCAAAGGAAUUGACGGGGGCCCGCACAAGCGGUGGAGCAUGUGGUUUAAUUCGAAGCAACGCGAAGAACCUUACCAGGUCUUGACAUCCUUUGACCACUCUAGAGAUAGAGCUUUCCCUUCGGGGACAAAGUGACAGGUGGUGCAUGGUUGUCGUCAGCUCGUGUCGUGAGAUGUUGGGUUAAGUCCCGCAACGAGCGCACCCUUAUUACUAGUUGCCAGCAUUUAGUUGGGCACUCUAGUGAGACUGC